AUUGAACGCUGGCGGCAUGCCUUACACAUGCAAGUCGAACGGCAGCACGGGUGCUUGCACCUGGUGGCGAGUGGCGAACGGGUGAGUAAUACAUCGGAACGUACCUUAUCGUGGGGGACAACGCAGCGAAAGCUGUGCUAAUACCGCAUACGCCCUGAGGGGGAAAGCGGGGGAUCGCAAGACCUCGCGCGAUUAGAGCGGCCGAUGCCUGAUUAGCUAGUUGGUGGGGUAAAAGCCCACCAAGGCGACGAUCAGUAGCUGGUCUGAGAGGACGAUCAGCCACACUGGGACUGAGACACGGCCCAGCCUCCUACGGGAGGCAGCAGUGGGGAAUUUUGGACAAUGGGGGCAACCCUGAUCCAGCAAUGCCGCGUGAGUGAAGAAGGCCUUCGGGUUGUAAAGCUCUUUUGUCAGGGAAGAAACACCGGCUCUAACACAGUCCGGGAAUGACGGUACCUGAAGAAUAAGCACCGGCUAACUACGUGCCAGCCGCCGCGGUAA
rnacentral:rRNA from 1 species